AACGAACGCUGGCGGCGUGCCUAACACAUGCAAGUCGAGCGAGAAAGCCCGCAAGGGUGAGUACAGCGGCGCACGGGUGCGUAACACGUGGGUAAUCUGCCCUGAAGUCCGGAAUAACUCGCCGAAAGGCGUGCUAAUGCCGGAUGAGACCACGGGAGCUUCGGCUCCUGCGGGAAAAGGUGGCCUCUGUAUACAAGCUAUCACUUCAGGAUGAGCCCGCGGCCCAUCAGCUCGUUGGCGGGGUAAUGGCCCACCAAGGCUACGACGGGUAGCUGGUCUGAGAGGACGAUCAGCCACACUGGAACUGAGACACGGUCCAGACUCCUACGGGAGGCAGCAGUGGGGAAUCUUGCGCAAUGGGCGAAAGCCUGACGCAGCAACGCCGCGUGUGUGAUGAAGGUCUUCGGAUCGUAAAGCACUGUCGCGAGGGACGAAUAAGGGGCGGGCUAACAUCCCGUUCCGAUGACGGUACCUCGAGAGGAAGCACCGGCUAACUCUGUGCCAGCAGCCGCGGUAAUACAGAGGGUGCAAGCGUUGUUCGGAAUUAUUGGGCGUAAAGCGCGUGUAGGCGGCUUUGUAAGUUGGGUGUGAAAGCCCUCGGCUUAACCGAGGAAGUGCGCCCAAAACUGCAUGGCUUGAGUACCGGAGAGGGUGGCGGAAUUCCCGGUGUAGAGGUGAAAUUCGUAGAUAUCGGGAGGAACACCAGCGGCGAAGGCGGCCACCUGGACGGAUACUGACGCUGAGACGCGAAAGCGUGGGGAGCAAACAGGAUUAGAUACCCUGGUAGUCCACGCUGUAAACGGUGAGCGCUAGGUGUUGUGGGUGUUGACCCCUGCAGUGCCGCAGCUAACGCAUUAAGCGCUCCGCCUGGGAAGUACGGCCGCAAGGCUA
rnacentral:rRNA from 1 species